rfam:Salmo salar isolate Sally breed double haploid chromosome ssa10, whole genome shotgun sequence.
UUCCCUGUGGCUCAGUUGGUAGAGCAUGGUGUUUGCAAUGCCAGGGUUGUGGGUUCGAUUCCCACGGGGGACC